UCUUCUUUCUGACCCUUCUUCGGUAAUAAUACUUUCUUGACAUUCGUAACCUUCACAAAAGCUUUACGAAUGAAUCCCGCCACCGUCCCGCCACCGCUGUCGCCGGCGGAGGCGCCGCAGCACUCUGCUUCAGGAAACCUUGAGAGUAUCACGGAAAUCAUCAACCGACUACUUCCUUCGACUCUCUCCAUCACCUGUUUUGCGUCCAGAUGGCAAGUUCUUCGCGGUAAGCUAAUUUCUCUGAAAUCGGUGCUGAACGAAAUCGUCGAUUCGCCUCACUGGACGGAGAAUCCUCUCCUUCCGCAGCUGCUGCCUUCCUUGCUGGCUACCGUACAGCGCACCGAAACGUUGUCUCAGUAUUGCUCCGGCGGAUCAGUUAGCCGCGGGAAGCUUUUGAUGCAAUCCGACCUUGAUAUGGCCGCUGGUUGGCUAUCGAGGCAAAUGAAUGACCUCGAGCUGCUGCUUCGCUCCGGCGUUCUGCAUCAGUCCACCGCCAUUGUUUUGUCGCGCCCCAAUCCGAGUUCUUCGAAGGAGGAACUUACUUUUUUCGUCAAGGACCUAUUCACUAGGCUUCAGAUCGGUGGACAGGAUUUCAAGCGGAAGGCGUUGGAUUCGCUGAUUGAGCUCCUGACGGAGGAUGAUAAGUCCGCAGCUGUUGUAGCGAAGGAAGGGAAUGUAAGUUUUCUGGUUUCCCUGCUCGAUCUGAAUUCUAAUGAUUCAAUCCGAGAAUUGGCGGUUCACGUUGUUUCCUUGCUCGUUUCCGCGGGAGAUGUGCCCCGGAAAUGCGUAUUUGAGGAAGGCGCUUUGGGGCCUUUGCUGAAAAUGAUCGAUUGCAGUUCGAUGCCUAUGAAGGAAAAGGCCGCCAUGGCUGUGGAAUACAUUACUUCCGAUCCAGAUAACGCUUGGGCGAUUUCCGCUUAUGGUGGUGUCCCGAUUCUUAUGGAAUUGUGUAAAUCUGGCUCUAUGCCAUCACAAUCACAUGCCGUUGGGGCGAUAAGAAACGUUUCAACAGUGGAAGAUAUUCGCAUUUCGUUGGCUGAAGAAGGAAUUGUUCCCGUUUUGAUGCAGUUGCUUGAUUCUGGGAACUCCUCUGCGCAAGCAAAAGCAGCCAACUGUAUAUCAAUUCUUGCAUCAACAGGUGAGCAUUUUCGCAGCUUGUUGUUGCAGGAAAAGGCCCUGCCAAAGUUGUUACAAUUAUUUCAUGAAUGCUCGACGGCGGAUACUUUAGAAUCUGUAUUGGGUGCAAUUAGUUCAGUAUCUGCCUCGGAUGCCAGCUACCGAUAUUUAUCUAGAUCUAAUUUAUUCGUCUUACGAAUUUCGGAGCUUGUAAAGCAUGGAAACCUAGUUAGGCUGCAGCAUAUGGCUGCAUCUUUGCUUGCUAAGUUACCAAUUAGUGAUGGUACUAAAAUGGGCAUUGCUGGAUGCAUGAGUUGCUUGAUGAAGCUAAUGGAGACAGUAAAGCCGGAUGGGAUUCAAGAGGUUGGGGCCAAGGCAUUGAUUUCAUUACUGUCUGUUAAAGCUAACAGGAAAGAAUUGGUGAGGGAUGAGAAGAGUGUGAUGAGGUUGGUGCAGAUGCUGGAUCCUAAAAACGACGCAGUAUCAAAGAAGUUUCCCGUUGCUGUGGUGGCGGCUAUAAUGGGUGGAGGCAGCCAGAGUUGUAGGAAGAAGCUUGUGGAAGCAGGUGCUUACGGGCAUUUGCAAAGAUUGGUAGACAUGGAUGUGGCUGGAGCGAAAAAGGCUCUGCAGAGGCUCUCUGGGAAUAGGCUUACGAGCAUAUUCUCAAGGUCUUGGAGGGAUUAUUAGUUAACCAACAAAUUCCUGCCGUGCCAGCAUUGCAGCUAUUUACUUUCCUGAAUUGUUAAAUAGUUGACUAGCUGAGCUGAGCUGAGCCGAGCAGAUUGAGGAGACCGAUCAAGAACAUCCAACAGUCACCCUGCUGCACAGUGAAAUGAAGACACAAAACAGGACAGCCGGUAUAAUACCUUAAACCUUAACAUUCCAUAGUAUUAUACUACUUUUUCUGUGCAUUUUAUGCGAAAAAAGAAAAAUAAAAAAAAUGGGUUUGUGAUCAGACUUGAGAACAAAAGAAAAACCAAGAAGGGUAGGGGGGGUUGUGUCUAAUUUAUUAGACCAUGACAUGGAUGCAAUUUUAGUGAGUAUCCCUGUUUCAGAAUUCAUAUAUAUAUAUAUAUAUAUAUAGAGAGAGAGAGAGAGAGAUGGUCUCAUAUAUAACAACAGUCUGAUUAUAUAUAUAUAUACAUAUUCAUGUAUUGAGAGUGAAAGAGAUUGUAUGUCUUCUUGUUUGGUUGUUUGUCUAUGUGAUUCAUUUUCUUUGUAAUGCCUUUUGGUUUGUAUAGAAAAUCUGGGUUUGUUUCUACUGCUAUGUUUAUGACUAUAUAUAUACUACAAGUGUGUAAAUGUUUGUAUGUAUUUUUAUUCGAUUAAACCGAUGAUGCUGUAUGCCUAAAGUAAUUUAUAAUUUA